rnacentral:lncRNA from 1 species
AUCCUCUCCUCUCAUCAUCAGUUCCAUCAGAGUCCUCCCCACGCAUGUAAGCAACCAUCAUUCAUAUUUGGUUAAAGGAAGCAUCGUUGCACCAUAUUUUCAGUAGCAUUCCGAAAAUCUAAAAUAAAUACUAAAUAUGGACCGAACGACCAUUAUGUCCAUCGGCACUGCACCAACAUCCUCUCUUUCUUCGCCAACUACUCGGUUAAGAUACCGGCCUUGCGUUACUUCCCUUAGUUUCAGCUUUUUUAAACUAAAACAGAAAAAUUCAAUGGUAAUACGAAUCAAAAAAAAUAGAAGAAACUAACGAAGAAUCAAAACCCCACAAGCUAAAACCCUCCAAGAAUCGAUGAAAACCUACAUUGGAAUAAGAAACGGUUGAUUUCCUCUGGAACUCUAAAAAAAAGUGAAGCAAGAAUCGAAACCCUAGGUCAGAAACAGUCGGCAUUCGUUCAAAACCAUAGAAGGACCAAGAAUCUCAUGAAAGGAAGAACAAGAAGAGUGAAGGGUAAAAGAAAGAGAGGAGAGAAUAC